UACACUGUUUAUCUCCUGGUUGUCUACUC
rnacentral:piRNA from 1 species